rnacentral:rRNA from 1 species
UAGGCUGAAACUACGCCUACAUGAAGCUGGAGUUGCCNGUAAUCGCGAAUCAGCAUGUCGCGGUGAAUACGUUCCCGGGCCCUUGUACACACCGCCCGUCACACCAUGAGAGUUGGCAAUACCCAACGUACGUGAUCUAACCCGCAAGGGAGGAAGCGUCCUAAGGUAGGGUCAGCGAUUGGGGUGAAGUCGUAACAAGGUAUC